rnacentral:rRNA from 1 species
AACGAACGCUGGCGGCAGGCUUAACACAUGCAAGUCGAACGCCCCGCAAGGGGAGUGGCAGACGGGUGAGUAACGCGUGGGAAUCUACCCAGUUCUACGGAACAACAGAGGGAAACUUCUGCUAAUACCGUAUACGCCCUAAGGGGGAAAGAUUUAUCGGAAUUGGAUGAGCCCGCGUAAGAUUAGCUAGUUGGUGAGGUAAUGGCUCACCAAGGCGACGAUCUUUAGCUGGUCUGAGAGGAUGAUCAGCCACACUGGGACUGAGACACGGCCCAGACUCCUACGGGUGGCAGCAGUGGGGAAUAUUGGACAAUGGGCGCAAGCCUGAUCCAGCCAUGCCGCGUGAGUGAUGAAGGCCUUAGGGUUGUAAAGCUCUUUCAGUAGGGAAGAUAAUGACGGUACCUACAGAAGAAGCCCCGGCUAACUUCGUGCCAGCCGCCGCAGUAAGAC